AGAACUUAGCAGAGAUGCUUUGGUGCCUUCGGGAACUCUGAGACAGGUGCUGCAUGGCUGUCGUCAGCUCGUGUUGUGAAAUGUUGGGUUAAGUCCCGCAACGAGCGCAACCCUUAUCCUUUGUUGCCAGCGGUCCGGCCGGGAACUCAAAGGAGACUGCCAGUGAUAAACUGGAGGAAGGUGGGGAUGACGUCAAGUCAUCAUGGCCCUUACGAGUAGGGCUACACACGUGCUACAAUGGCGCAUACAAAGAGAAGCGACCUCGCGAGAGCAAGCGGACCUCAUAAAGUGCGUCGUAGUCCGGAUUGGAGUCUGCAACUCGACUCCAUGAAGUCGGAAUCGCUAGUAAUCGUAGAUCAGAAUGCUACGGUGAAUACGUUCCCGGGCCUUGUACACACCGCCCGUCACACCAUGGGAGUGGGUUGCAAAAGAAGUAGGUAGCUUAACCUUCGGGAGGGCGCUUACCACUUUGUGAUUCAUGACUGGGUGAAGUCGUAACAAGGUAGGCGUAGCGAG
rnacentral:rRNA from 1 species